rnacentral:miRNA from 1 species
UCACCGGGUAUUCACUCAUCCA